rnacentral:rRNA from 1 species
AACGAACGCUGGCGGCAGGCCUAACACAUGCAAGUCGAACGAGAAGCCACCUUCGGGUGGUGGAAAGUGGCAGACGGGUGAGUAACGCGUGGGAACGUGCCUUUCGGUUCGGAAUAACCCAGGGAAACUUGGGCUAAUACCGGAUACGCCCUUAGGGGGAAAGAUCCAUUGCCGAAAGAUCGGCCCGCGUCGGAUUAGCUAGUUGGUAGGGUAAUGGCCUACCAAGGCGACGAUCCGUAGCUGGUCUGAGAGGAUGACCAGCCACACUGGGACUGAGACACGGCCCAGACUCCUACGGGAGGCAGCAGUGGGGAAUAUUGGACAAUGGGCGAAAGCCUGAUCCAGCCAUGCCGCGUGGGUGGAGAAGGCCUUAGGGUUGUAAACCCCUUUCAGCGGGGAAGAUAAUGACGGUACCCGCAGAAGAAGUCCCGGCUAACUCCGUGCCAGCCGCCGCGGUAAGAC